rnacentral:rRNA from 1 species
GUUGACCUCGGAUCAGGUAGGACUACCCGCUGAACUUAAGCAUAUCAAUAAGCGGAGGAAAAGAAACCAACAGGGAUUGCCCCAGUAACGGCGAGUGAAGCGGCAACAGCUCAAAUUUGAAAUCUGGCCCCAGGCCCGAGUUGUAAUUUGCAGAGGAUGCUUUUGGCGCGGUGCCUUCCGAGUUCCCUGGAACGGGACGCCAUAGAGGGUGAGAGCCCCGUACGGUUGGACACCAAGCCUUUGUAAAGCUCCUUCGACGAGUCGAGUAGUUUGGGAAUGCUGCUCUAAAUGGGAGGUACAUUUCUUCUAAAGCUAAAUAUUGGCCAGAGACCGAUAGCGCACAAGUAGAGUGAUCGAAAGAUGAAAAGCACUUUGAAAAGAGGGUUAAACAGCACGUGAAAUUGUUAAAAGGGAAGCGCUUGUGACCAGACUUGCGUCCGGUGAAUCACCCAGCUCUCGCGGCUGGGGCACUUCGCCGGCACAGGCCAGCAUCAGCUUGCCGUCGGGGACAAAAGCUUCAGGAACGUGGCUCCUCUCGGGGAGUGUUAUAGCCUGUUGCACAAUACCCUUCGGCGGGCUGAGGUACGCGCUCCGCAAGGAUGCUGGCGUAAUGGUCAUCAGCGACCCGUCUUGAAACACGGACCAAGGAGUCAACCUUAUGUGCGAGUGUUUGGGUGUUAAACCCCUACGCGUAAUGAAAGUGAACGCAGGUGAGAGCUUCGGCGCAUCAUCGACCGAUCCUGAUGUUCUCGGAUGGAUUUGAGUAAGAGCAUAUAGGGUUGGACCCGAAAGAAGGUGAACUAUGCGUGUGUAGGGUGAAGCCAGAGGAAACUCUGGUGGAGGCUCGCAGCGGUUCUGACGUGCAAAUCGAUCGUCAAACAUGCGCAUGGGGGCGAAAGACUAAUCGAAC